AACGAACGCUGGCGGCAUGCCUAACACAUGCAAGUCGAACGGGAUCCGGACUUCGGUCCGGUGAGAGUGGCGGACGGGUGAGUAACACGUGGGAACCUGCCUUUUGGUUCGGGAUAACCGCGGGAAACUGCGGCUAAUACCGGAUGCUCCCGAGAGGGAAAAGAUUUAUCGCCAGAAGAGGGGCCCGCGUCCGAUUAGGUAGUUGGUGGGGGUAAUGGCCUACCAAGCCGACGAUCGGUAGCUGGUCUGAGAGGAUGAUCAGCCACACUGGGACUGAGAUACGGCCCAGACUCCUACGGGAGGCAGCAGUGGGGAAUAUUGGACAAUGGGGGCAACCCUGAUCCAGCAAUGCCGCGUGAGUGAUGAAGGCCUUAGGGUUGUAAAGCUCUUUUGCCAGGGAAGAUGAUGACUGUACCUGGAGAAUAAGCCCCGGCUAACUUCGUGCCAGCAGCCGCGGUAAU
rnacentral:rRNA from 1 species